rnacentral:rRNA from 1 species
UACGUAGGGACCGAGCGUUGUCCGGAAUCAUUGGGCGUAAAGAGCGUGUAGGCGGCUUGCUAAGUCCUGCGUGAAAUCUCGGGGCUCAACCCCGAGCGGUCGUGGGAAACUGGCAGGCUAGAGUGCGGGAGAGGAAAGUGGAAUUCCUGGUGUAGCGGUGAAAUGCGUAGAUAUCAGGAGGAACACCGGUGGUGUAGACGGCUUUCUGGACCGUAACUGACGCUGAGACACGAAAGCGUGGGUAGCAAACAGG